GGGUUUGAGUUCAUACUAAAUCAGAUAAUGUUUCCAGGCACCGCCAGCUGCAGCCAUUUUGUGUCAUCUUUAAAUGAUUUGCUUGGAAGUGAUUGCUUGCUAGAAUAGUCUGAAAAUGCCUCUUAUCUUUGCUUAGACCAUGUGGCUCGGUUCAGAUUUUUAUUUUCUGUGCAAUAAUCACUUCCUUUUUCCAUUUUGGAGUCCUUAUAAUGUGCGGAGGAAAUUAUUCAGCAGCAAUGCAGUUGGGUAACAUAGAAAGACUAUUAAGUAUGCUCGUGUUAAUAUUCUAAUCGCUGUCAGCGAAGUGUUCCCUUCAAAUCUAUGAGGUCCCAAAACUGAUGUGUUGUGUUGGUAUAUUUCCCCCUUCUCAUCCCAUGUACCUGUUCAGAUUAUUGAAUUGCAUACACGGGAGCAGUUCAAAAGUUUGCAUUGUUGAUUCACAGUGUUGGUGCUGAUGCAUCUUUUCUAGGAUGUAUCGGUUCUAAUGCAUGUAUGAAAAAUUCAUUCCCCUUUCUCGCGUUGUGCAUGUCAAUUCGGUACUGGUAGAACUUCUUAUCUUGCUCUUUAUUAUUAUUCUUAUUCUUGAUAUAUAGUUACUGAAGUUCAGUUUUAUGAAUUUAUGAAUGUAUACGAGAAAUUAGGUUUCCUAUCUUUUUCUACUUUACUCGCUUCGAUGACUGGUUUACCUGCUAGAGCAGCAUCCCAUUGUUCAGUAGAAGGUGAAGUAAGGAAGACAUUGGUCAGGUUCUUAAUUCAUUCAUACAUUGGUCAGGUUCUUAAUUCGUUCAUACAUACUCUCUGAUUUGAACUAGCACAUAACAAUGUUGCUUAUUGUCUACAGCUAAUGCCAUGUCUCUCUAGAAUGCAAUAUACUAAUAACUUUUAUCCCAAAAUUUCCAGCGCCAGUUGGCCGCGCUGCAAGGUACGCUAAAGAUAUCUGAAGGAUUGAUUGGCACUGUCAGUGUCUAGGUACGUAGCCUAUGAUUCUUUACUUCUCGAUGCUUAUGUCAGGGAAUAUAUUGCCAUUAAUAUCUUUAGCUUGCACUUUCCCUUUUUGGAUAACCAGCACCAAGGCCUUAUUCAUGGUAGGGUAAAUGCCUCUGGUGAAACAAACAUAAGCAGAGGUUCAUAUGCUAUUAUAUUUAUUAAAACAUACAGACGGAGAUUGAAACAAGCAUGUAAAAAGAGUUCCAUAAUGAAGGAAGAUAGGAGUGACCCAUUUCAUUCGACAUGGUUCAGAAAAAUCUUAAUACACUAGGGCUUGCUAUAAAAAGUAAUCCCAUAGAAUCUGGUUGCUUUGUGUAGCAUCUAAAAUCAAUUAAGACAAAUAUUUGUUUAGUUUCAUGGCGAGUAUGUUUGUUAAAGGGCCUCGAUAUAGUUAUAAUACUGUUAAUUUAUAAUAUUUAAGAUGAUUUUAUAGUUAUAAGCUUUAAGUAGUACCUUGCCAUGGCCAUCCUAAUGGUUUAGUGCACGCUAUUGAUUUUUUUUCUAUUUGAAAUGGCGUAGUAUAAGUUAUAAGCUUUAAGUAGUACCUUGCCAGUUGCCAUGGCCAUACUAAUGGUUACAGUAGUACAUGCUAUUGAUUUAUUCUGUUUGAAUUUCUGAGUAAAAUGUUAUCCAGAUGCGAAUGGUACUGUACACAGUUGUAAAAGCUCCCUACGAGUUUGUUACAUUUAGUUGGUAAUGUUUACUGUGGCAGCCACGCAACACUGUUAAUUUAGUUGAAAUGACAUUCUUUCCCCGUGAUCAUUGUUGCAUAGAGACCAUCUUAAUUAACUUUUCACUUCAUGUAAUUAUAUGUACUCCGUAACAUAUUUUUUUAAGUGACUGUUACACAAAGACAUGAAUUAUGGCAUUGCAAAAGCAAAGUGCCAUUGUUAUCAUCACUGUUUUUUAGGAUAUAGACUCUAUGCCUCUCAAUCCAUUGGGCUUCUGUGAGUGCCGAAGUGUUUCAUGAUGAAUGGUACAUAUAAUCUUGCGACGUUUUUGUAUAUGAACUUCAGGUCCCAUUUAUUUGAACACGUGUCUGGUAUUAUGGGUUUCAGGGAACGACCUAUGAUCUUGGAAUUGUCCAUUCGAUGCUAUGAAGGUAACAGGUGCUCAAUUGGAGGAGCCCCCCCCAAGUGUAUGAAGCAUGCAAAGAGGACAGUUCUGAGCGCAGACGAUGUUGAUAGUGCUCAGGAAUGUUAAGCCUGUAUACGGAUUUGCUUCUGGUGACCCCUUGCGGUUUAAAAGAGCUGUGUGCCAUAAUGAUCUCUUCUAUAUCGAUGACAGGGAGGUCGAUUUCAAAGAGGCAAGGAUAUUAUUGAUAAAUGAAUCAGAUAAAUUUACACUUUCUUUAUUUUGAUAAUGAAUUGGACAUAUGUCUGCCGCAUACAUAUUACUGAAGCUCCUCUACCCAAACUCUCGACACAGCAUUUGUAUCUCACUGGCUAACUAUUGAGGGCGUCCUCCAGCCUGCAAUUCUAGAUAAUCCUCCUAUCGAUGGUUAGCUCCUAUAUUAAUCACAAUGUCUUGUCCUCACUUCUAACAUCUCCACAUGUUCUGCUCAUAUUUUUGCUCAUAUUUUUAUCUGCUAUAAGGAAUAUAUUCAUUCUUUUCAACCUUUUUGCGAGAGGAUGAGAGACGAUCAGCUAUGAAGUGGAAAAAUCCAUUUUACACACCUAUCUAUUAGGUGCCACUUUAUACAUGACGUGCCAUCAAAUUGAUCCUAGCCGCAGUGGUGUCGAGAUUCGUGCUGAGCACGUUAAAUAGCACUUUUCUGCUUUUGGCAUCAGGUGUACAAAAGGGUGGUAUAGUGAUCUUGGAAGCAAAUGGGAUCCAUGGGCUUCGGAUCAUUUAGCUUCCCCUGGUUCCCAUGUUCAUUGGAAAUUCCUUCUCUUGCUGGUAUUAAUUUUCUGUCAGCUUGCUCAGGUAUCUGUACUCGGUGGAAUUUACUAUAUUAUAUGAACUAUCUUUUUUGUUCAAUUUUUAAAUUUGUUACCGCUCCUAUGAUCUUUCUGCAAGCAGCUAUUUAAUGGUGAAAUACCACAUAGUUUGGUAAAGUAGUGGGAUGAUUGGUUUCUGUAUGACCUUUUAUUGAAUAUUAUCUUGUCCCACUUAAAGGUUUCUUAGCUACUUUGGGGUGGUCCUUUGUUGGUUCACUGUGAAAAGAAACAAUGUAUGAUUUAUGACAUAUCCAAAAUAAUGAGCUUAGUGAAGCAUAAUGAAGAUCCUAACGGAAGGAAGGAAACUAUGCACAAAGAAAUUUUACCAAAAUAAGUGUGUGAAUUAAAAUUUACUGAUAGAGUGUGUUUUUUGGAACAUAUCAACUUUAGAAAUUAACCCAAGUGCUAUAGGUUUGUGAAUUAGUAGUAGCUUAUGCGGGUGGCUGCAGUUUGUUGAUUGGGAACCAGAGCCUCAGUGUUAGUAAUGUUG